CCGGAACCCAAAGACACGUGCCCG
rnacentral:miRNA from 1 species